rnacentral:rRNA from 1 species
GGCUCCAUAAAACAGUUGUAACCUAUCACCGAAUGAUAACCUAUACGGAUAUCCUCGGUAAUUCUGAGGCUAAUACGUGAAAAUUUUAUCCCCAAUCUUGGGCAACUAGGAGAAGGGACGCUCAGCGCCAGUUAGUCAUCAAAUCGUAUACAGUAUGAGUGCAGGCUGAGCACGACCGCGCAAGCGGCGUCAGGUGGCCGGCUUCUGACCUAUCAACUCACGAUGCAGGCGUAAAGCACAAACAUGGUAACAACGGGUACAGAGGAUAAGGGUUCGAU